rnacentral:lncRNA from 1 species
UUCUUCUUCUUCUUCUUCUUCUUUUCCUUUUGAUCAAUGAGUUGAAGGUUGAUAAGUUAGCAUUGAUUAGGGAGAUUUAACCUUCCUUGAUUCAAAUCUAAUUCAUCUUGAUCAAUUGAUCAAGUGAAUGGCUUUGCAUUAAGGAUAGUUGUCUUCUAAAUCAUGCAAAAGGCUUAAACCAAUACAAGAUCAUUUCUCUUCUCCUUUUGGCAUGGCAAGUUG